CAGUCGCCGCGGGAAUACGGAGGGUGCAAGCGUUAAUCGGAGUUACUGGGCGUAAAGCGUGCGUAGGCGGUUCGUUAAGUCUGUUGUGAAAGCCCCGGGCUCAACCUGGGAAUGGCAAUGGAUACUGGCGAGCUAGAGUGUGUCAGAGGAUGGUGGAAUUCCCGGUGUAGCGGUGAAAUGCGUAGAGAUCGGGAGGAACAUCAGUGGCGAAGGCGGCCAUCUGGACAACACUGACGCUGAGGCACGAAAGCGUGGGGAGCAAACAGGAUUAGAUACCCCUGUAGUCCCUGUCUCUUAUACA
rnacentral:rRNA from 1 species